AUUAGUGAACGGAGCUACAGAGACUCACCCCUUGGCGCCUCUUUUUAAAUUUUUAAACAAUCGGUUUUUGUUAAUUCUCUCUUUUUAUCUCUUCGUUGCAGUCCUGUCCAUUGCAGAUCUCUCUCUCCCGCGAUCUCUUGUCGAGGCCAGCAGCCGCCAUUUCCUCUUCUCCGGUCACCGCCACGUCCGGACGCUCUGCCGUAAGAGGCCAGUGGGAAUACCCGUCCAUGCUUACCGUGUCGCAUACCGUCUCACACUCCCCUCGCCUCCAUCUAUUCUCUCCCUUGCUUUUGAUUUCCCAAGUGUCCCUAACUGUAGGCUUCUUGAUUUCUCUGGAGCCCAUGGCCCCCGAAGCCCCUGCAGCCUGCCUGGGAUGAGCGUCCUCUGUCCCAAAUAGUGGGCUUCUUCUCAUCAAUGCUUAAAUGUAAUAUUUUUCUGAUACUUCACGAGUUCGUGUUGAAUGUUGAAUUUUCUGAUUAAAGAUUGUGCUAUUGGGUUUACUUAUUAAGGGAUUUGAUUGUUUUCU